CCGCUGCUUCCACGGGCCCGCGGGCCUGUCCCUCAGCGCGGGGUGUGGAGGGGCGGUGGCAGCACGGGCGCGGUUGCGGCGGAGCCCGGAGGCGGCGCUGAUAGGACGGCGCGCGGAGGCGCUGCGGGCCGCGGCUGCCGCCCCCGGGCCGGAGCAGCCCGGUUGUGCUGAGCCCGGCCCGGCCCGGAGCAGCCCGCCUGUGCCGAGCCCGGCUCGGAGCAGCCCGAGGAAGAAGCAGAAGUUUUAACCAUCUUCCCAUGGCAUCUGACUUUUUUGAAGAGGAGGACUUUUCAACCACUUGAUAGAAGGGAAAUAAGAAGUUUGUUUCAAGACUCUUAUGUUGUUCAUCAGUGCUGUUAACAAACGUGGGGCUUGAGGAUACAUUUGCUGCUUCUCUGCAUUUUUGCUAAAGGUGGGACCUUGCUGUCUCCCAGCUCCAGUGGGCAUUAGGUUUCAUAGAUGUCUCUUGGGAAGAGGACAGCUCUGUGGAGCCUAAGUUUCAAAAGUAAUUUUAAAGAUUGCACCCAAGAGAGAAGCAGUGAGAUGCACAGUGGGGAAAAGGGACCCAGCAGUCCAUCCUAUGCUGUACCUGCCUGAAUAUGGGAAGAGACCUAGUACAAAGCCAGAAUGCAGCUGGGCUUGCAGUAUUUUUAACCAUAUUAAGUCCUGUUCAGAGUUAAUGAUGAGCUGAGUGAGAUGGUCUCAGCAAUGCUGAAGGAGUGAAGGACAGAAUUGGAAGGCAGGAGCUACUUUAAAGCAGGAUUUUUCAUCUUUCUGUAAUGCCCAAACAUGAAGACUUUAUAAACUUCAUUAGAUCCUGCCAUCAAUGACUGAGCCUCCCUGAAAUCUUCUUAUCAGUUACUGCCAAGAUGAGAGGGAUAACAGGAAGGAGGAGUGCUUAAGUGGCUUUAAUGACAGUUAAUUUCUUCUGUUUAUCAAACAACAGAUUGUUUUUUCCUCAAAACUCGAUUGUCAUGACAAGAUGCUUUUGGAAGUCAUCUUUGUAAAAUAAAACUGACAAUUUUUAGGCUA